GCCGGGCACGGUGGCACGUGCCUGUAAUCCCAGCAGCUGAGGAGGCUGAGGCAGGAGGAUCGUGAAUUCAAAGCCAGCCUCAGCAAGAGCGAGGCGCGGAGCAACUCAGUGAGACCCUGUCUCUA
rnacentral:sRNA from 1 species